rnacentral:rRNA from 1 species
GUGAAAGCAGGGGACCGCAAGGCCUUGCGUCGAUGGAGCGGCCGAUGCCGGAUUAGCUAGUUGGUGAGGUAAAGGCUCACCAAGGCGACGAUCCCGUAGCUGGUCUGAGAGGACGACCAGCCACACUGGGACUGAGACACGGCCCAGACUCCUACGGGAGGCAGCAGUGGGGAAUCUUGGACAAUGGGCGAAAGCCUGAUCCAGCAAUGCCGCGUGUGGGAAGAAGGCCUUCGGGUUGUAAACCACUUUUGGCGGGAAAGAAAUGGUCUGUGCUAAUACCACGGAUUGAUGACGGUACCCGCAGAAUAAGCACCGGCUAACUACGUG